CAUGUAGGCGGCAUGACAAGUCUGGUGUGAAAUAUCUCGGCUCAACCGAGAAAACGCACUGGAAACUGUCAAGCUUGAGUAUCGGAGGGGAAGCUAGAAUUCCUGGUGUAGGGGUGAAAUCUGUAGAUAUCAGGAAGAAUACCGGUGGCGAAGGCGAGCUUCUGGCCAGAUACUGACGCUGAGUUGCGAAAGCGUGGGGAGCGAACAGGAUUAGAUACCCUGGUAGUCC
rnacentral:rRNA from 1 species